CACGACUUUGGUCACAUCAAUGUCCCCGAUUAGUGUGACCGUGUUAUUUUUGGCGUCGAUUGCUACUUCAUCUACCCCUGUAUAAACCCUAAUUCACAUAUAUAUAUAUAUCGAUGCAUGCAUAUAUAUAACUACUAACUAGAAUUAAACUGACAUUUUUUUGUCACAGAUCGAUCAACUUACCAUGAACCUUGCUGAUGGCUUUCAGAACUGCAAUCUGACAACGCUCUUGGCAAAAGGAGGUUUUGAUCAAUAUCUUCUUCUGCAUAUUUUUCCUAUAUCCGAUCGGAGAAUGAAACUGACCGCCCGAUAUAUUAACUUGAGGUAUAGUCUAUUAGUCUGUAUACAGAUUUGCCUUUCUUCUUCAUUAAUCAAAAUAUUUAAUAUCAAUUAAUUCUCCAUUCAUGUAGAUAUAUAUCCACGUUAUCUCCACUUUCUCAAGAUCUAGUUUCAAUUCUUAAUGCAUCUUCUUUGCAUUUUCUAAAUAUUCUUUUCUUUUGUCCCACCUUCUCUAAUGAGUAAGACGUUGGUAUUCCAGCAUUAUUAUUGUUAAAAAUAACAUUAUCUAUCGAUUUAUAAAAUCAAAUGUGCCAAACUGAAACUGCUAAUGGAUUUAAAAAAAGGCGGCAUGCAUUGAAAAUUGAAAAUUGAAAAUUUAAAUGUUGGUGUGUGAAUAUGGGAUUAGUGUAAAACUGUAAAUGUGUGAUUGACCUUAUUUUAAUUUUGACAUUGUUUUAAAUUUAAUUUACUUGAUUUUUAUUUUAUUGGGUCAUGAUCCAUGCGGUCAUGAAUUUAUUGGAUGUCAGUGGACUUUUAUUUUUGAUAGUUUUAUAAUAUGAAAAUUUGACUUCGUUUUUGACAUAUUCAACACGACAUGUUUCCCGGGCCCCAUUAGAAGAAAUUUCAAGACGAAAAAAUCCAGUCCGAUCCGGUCCUAAAACGUGAUGGAUCAGAGUCCAAGAAAGAGAAAUUUCAUUGAGUGACCUUGACCUGAAACUACUUAAGGCGAUAGACAGAACAGGGUCUAGUCCGGCCUUUGGAAAUACUCCGAUCCAUCCUGUUCUAGACUGACUGGGAUCGAGACCACUAACUCCAGACCUGUCUCGUUUCCACCUCUGUUUUUAACUUUACUAAAGCUCAUUUAAUAACAUGAUUAAUGACAUGGGCUUCGCAUCGGCUCGGAAGAUUAGAC
rnacentral:lncRNA from 1 species